GUAAGGUAGUAUGAACAGCUCUGGAUAAAGACAGGGAAAGCAGUGAGUGCUUGGGAAAUUGCAAACGAUUUGGUGUGCUUGGAGAACAAAGUGAGAAGUGGAUAGGAUGCUGGGUGGGAAGGGUGAAGGUGGAGAUGACAAGAAAAGACUGUAGGCAAUACUACUGGAAUAUAAGUUUAUCCUUAGGAAAUGAUAUGUUAUUGUGUGAUUUUAAAUCAGGGAGUCAUAGGAUCAGAUUUGUGUUUUAGGAAGAUCAUCUGUCAGUGGUGUGCAGGAUGCAAGAAGUUGCCGAGGAUGAUGGCCGGAGGGUAGCUUAGGAGCCUACUAGCAUAGUCCGUGUACAAAAUGAGGGACUGACUAGGGGAAGGCUGUAGAGAAACACAGAAACGGAGGAAGAUAUGAAAUAUUUAGGAGAUAGAAUUGAGUGGAUUUGGUACCUCAUUAGAUAUAAUCAACGGGGAAGGAAAAGGUAUCGAGGAUAAAUGUCAGGUUUCUGGCUUGGUUAAUUGCAUUCUCAGUGUUUUCACUCAUAACAAUAAGAAAUGCAGGAUCUUGUAGACUGAAUUUUGACCAUCCCCAUUCAUGUGUUGGAGCCCUAACCCUCAACAUCCCUGGGUUUGGAGAUGGGGCCUUUAAGGAGGACAGGCUAGAUGCUGACAGCUUGAUCUUGGACCUCAAGUUUUCCGAAUUGUGAUAAAUAGAUGUUUAUAAUAAAGCCACCCAGUCUGUGGUAUCUUGUUGUGAUAGCUGGACCUGACUAAUACACAGGGCAUGUGGCAAGUUUAAGGGGAAGAUGUCUUUCUGAAACAUUUGAAUCAAUCAGAAGUUCUUUUGGAACAACUAAGGAAAGAUGUCAGCUUGCUGCCUCAAAAUGCUGUUUGAUGACACUGGUUUAGAAAAUAGAAAACAGAUUUUUCUUUUCUCCGAAGAAAUAGAAAACUUUCCUCUGUACUCCAAGGGAUAUACAGGAAGAAUAGAAAUAUGAAUUUGAACUGUGACUAAGAGUCAGCAUGUACUUUCCCUUCUCUGGAAAAAGAAAAGAAAAAAGCUGGAGAAGUAAAGCUCAGAAGCACGGUUGGGUAUGGCUGAGUUAAGUAGACUACAUGAAAAAUAAACAGUCAACAAUCUUACAGAGAAAAUGAAUUUUGCUCUUUGAUGUAAGAAAAAGCCCACUCACCUUUAUUUUUAAAAUGUCCUGAGUUGAGGUAAACAAUAUCUAUUUUUGCUAUUAAAAAAUUCUAUUUCUGUCUGAUAUUUUUCCCAAUUGAUAGAAAUCAGAAGAACACUCCUAGAGAAAUUAACACUAAAAUGCAAAAGCACUGUAAUAGCUCCUCUUUGAUAUUAUGAAUUGACUUUAACCUGAUUUGCUCUCUAAAUUUCUUAGGUUAUUUCUGAAUUUUGUUUAUAGUUUAUUAGCAUGUUAAAUAUUUUUUGUGGUUUUGAUUUGCAUACAUAUACAAUAUUUUGGUUAUAUUAAAAAUAAAAUAACUGGUAUGUGUUUCCUACCUCCUGAUU
rnacentral:lncRNA from 1 species